rnacentral:rRNA from 1 species
GGAGGGUGCGAGCGUUAAUCGGAAUUACUGGGCGUAAAGCGCGCGUAGGCGGCUAGGUCAGUCGGAUGUGAAAGCCCCGGGCUUAACCUGGGAAUUGCAUUCGAUACUGCCUGGCUAGAGUAUGGGAGAGGGAAGUGGAAUUUCCGGUGUAGCGGUGAAAUGCGUAGAUAUCGGAAGGAACACCAGUGGCGAAGGCGACUUCCUGGCCCAAUACUGACGCUGAGGUGCGAAAGCGUGGGUAGCGAACAGGGAUUAGAUACCCUGGUAGUCCACGCCGUAAACGAUGAGAACUAGAUGUCGGGAGGAUUUGCCUCUCGGUGUCGCAGCUAACGCGUUAAGUUCUCCGCCUGGGGAUACGCCGGCAACGGUA